AACAAAAUUAACUGUUUUAUUCAGCUUUUGAUGUUGUGUUUCAAUAUCUCUAUAAAUCUAGCCUCGAUAUUGAGGAUUUUUUAACAUACUUUUUUUUACAUGAUUUUGGGGGGAAUAAUACAAAGCCUACACAUAAUAUGGCCAAUUCUAAUUAGUAUGUCAUUACAUCUAAUUAAAUUUGACCUGCCUUUAAACGAUGAGAGUGAUUAGCCUACAUUUGAUUAGGUGUAUGAAUAAACAUACUGUACCUUGUAGGAAAUGUUCAAUAAACAGGUUUUGCAAUUUUGGGGGCAAAACAAAACAAAAAAUACUUCAUUUCAAAUGAACAAGAUAAAAUCAUCUUUGGCAAGUAUUCAUAACAUAUUAGAGUCAAUUAUUUAAACCACAGUACAAAGAAUUUCAGCUUGGCCAAUGUUCAGGAGGUUUUUGUACGAGCAGUAAUAGGAAUUGUAUCACUGUGGGUCACUUUUGGUAGCGGCACCAGACUAGAUGUUGGAAGUAACAGAGUCCCCAUCCUCACCGUCCUGCCCCCCUCUAGUGAGGAGCUGUCCAGUACAACAACAGCCACACUGACGUGUCUGGCCAACAAGGGCUUCCCCUCAGACUGGACCAUGAGCUGGAAUGUGGACGGGACCAGCAAGAAGCAGGAGGCCAGUCCCAGGGUCCAGGAGAAGGAUGGCCUGUACAGCUGGAGCAGCACACUGACUCUCACUGCCCAGGAGUGGACCAAGGCAGGAGAGGUGACCUGUGUAGCCCAGCAGAAAUCCCAGACUCCAGUCACCAAGACCCUGAGGAGGGCUGACUGUUCUGGGUAGGACCCCUCAGUCACACACCCCUGUGGAGAGAGGAUACUGGUUCCUCUGCUUUAACUUGCUUUGUUCUAAAAUCAGUCGCUCUUCAAUAUAGUGAUCACUCUGGUGUAGACUAACAGGGGGCUUGGCUUGAGUUCAUGUGUCAAUCCAUUCUGUAGAUUGAAAUGUUGUUAGUUUUAGAUUUGAUGUGAUCUGCUUUUAUUCACUGUCAUGUUUGCUUUAAUGCUUCGAUUGUGUGAUAAUGGAUUAAAAUAAAGAUUUCUUUUUGGAA